ACUAUUUAAAAUUAUUGAACUCUAUAUUUAAUAAACGUACUCUAUGUAUGGUUGAACUUCUGUACUAUUCAGUAACACGUAGCGAUGAGCAACUUUCAACAUCUCAUUGGAUAGUAUAAUUGUCUUUCCUUUAGAAAUUGUACGCCCUGCAACUAGGAAAUUAGUCUCGUAUUCUUCAUUGUGUACAGGCUUAGAACCUAUUUUAGAUGCUUGUGUUACGUAUUUGCUACAAAACUUCGCAUUUUCUUCAACAAUAUAUCAUUCAGCUAUGCACCCUUCAGGCCGUGUACGAUUCAU
rnacentral:lncRNA from 1 species